UACGUAGGGGCCUAGCGUUGUCCGGAUUUACUGGGCGUAAAGAGCGCGCAGGCGGUCGUGCAAGUCGCGUGUGAAAGCCCCCGGCUCAACUGGGGAGGGUCACGCGAUACUGCUCGACUUGAAGGCAGGAGAGGGAAGUGGAAUUCCCGGUGUAGUGGUGAAAUGCGUAGAUAUCGGGAGGAACACCAGUGGCGAAGGCGACUUCCUGGCCUGUUCUUGACGCUGAGGCGCGAAAGCUAGGGUAGCAAACGGG
rnacentral:rRNA from 1 species